rnacentral:misc_RNA from 1 species
GGAAACUUAACAUGGGAAAGGGUCUCCGUCUAGUGUAGGGAGACGAGAAGAGAAGGGCAGCUUCCAUCUUUGUUUGGUUCUUUCUUUGGCUUGAAUAAAAAUCCGUCCCCUUUUCUUUUCAUUUCGCGAUUCUUAGCAUAAUACUAAUCUGCCGAUUCACAAUCAGCCAAAGCGACUUUUCUCUCUUCUUCUUUUCAAAUUCGUAUCCAAUUCACGCGUUAUUCUCUUCCCAUUUCGGCCCUUCUUUCUCCAUCCCUGAUCCGUAGGCUUUUUACUUGAUCUCCCUUCUCUAUACCCUUUUGAUCGCUUCUGUUUCUUGGGUAUUUUUUUUUUUUGCUGGGUUUCAAAUUUUAGAAUCAAAGAGGGAAAUUAUUUGCAACUUUUGGACUGAUUGGAUGAAUGUUUUCUGAGAAAUGGUGAUGUUGACAUCAACAGUUGUGCUGUGAAGCACUAUGGAACUGGUGGUUACCCAACAACAACAAGCACUACAAUAUGACGAUUUACAUUGGUCGAGAGGCUUCGAAGCUUUGGAAGAGAAUUUGUGCAGAGACUACCACAGAGAUCAACCUACUUUUCGAAAAUUGGAAAUUCAUUCUUGCUUGUCUAAUUUUUCAGUAUAUACAUG